UACGUAGGUGGCAAGCGUUGUUCGGAAUUAUUGGGCGUAAAGGGCGCGUAGGCGGUUUGUUAAGUCAGCUGUGAAAGCCCGGGGCUCAACCCCGGAGGGUCAGCUGAUACUGGCAGACUAGAGUACAGAAGAGGUAACUGGAAUUCCCGGUGUAGCGGUGAAAUGCGUAGAUAUCGCUUGGAACGCCAACGGUGAAAACAGCUCGCUGGGGGUGUGCUGACGCUGAGACACGAAAGCCAGGGGAGCGAACGGG
rnacentral:rRNA from 1 species